rnacentral:rRNA from 1 species
UACGUAGGGUGCAAGCGUUGUCCGGAAUUAUUGGGCGUAAAGAGCUCGUAGGCGGUCUGUCGCGUCUGCUGUGAAAACUCGGGGCUUAACCCCGGGCCUGCAGUGGGUACGGGCAGACUAGAGUGCGGUAGGGGAGACUGGAAUUCCUGGUGUAGCGGUGAAAUGCGCAGAUAUCAGGAGGAACACCGGUGGCGAAGGCAGCUCGCUGGGACGGUACUGACGCUGAGGCGCGAAAGCGUGGGGAGCGAACAGG